rnacentral:rRNA from 1 species
GGGUUCGAUUCCGGAGAGGGAGCCUGAGAAACGGCUACCACAUCCAAGGAAGGCAGCAGGCGCGCAAAUUACCCAAUCCCGACACGGGGAGGUAGUGACAAUAAAUAACAAUACGGGGCUCUUUCGGGUCUCGUAAUUGGAAUGAGUACAAUUUAAAUCCCUUAACGAGGAACAAUUGGAGGGCAAGUCUGGUGCCAGCAGCCGCGGUAAUUCCAGCUCCAAUAGCGUAUAUUAAAGUUGUUGCAGUUAAAAAGCUCGUAGUUGAAUUUCGGGAUUGACACAUCGGUCGUGCCUUAAGGGGUAUGAACUGGUGUAGUCAAUUUCUCACCUUCUGGAGAACCGCAAUGCCCUUAAUUGGGUGUCGCGGGGAACCAGGACCUUUACUUUGAAAAAAUUAGAGUGUUUAAAGCAGGCAUUUUGCUUGAAUACAUUAGCAUGGAAUAAUAAAAUAGGACGGCAUGAUUCUAUUUUGUUGGUUUCUAGGAUCACCGUAAUGAUUAAUAGGGAUAGUUGGGGGCAUUAGUAUUCAAUUGUCAGAGGUGAAAUUCUUGGAUUUAUUGAAGACUAACUACUGCGAAAGCAUUUGCCAAGGAUGUUUUCAUUAAUCAAGAACGAAAGUUAGGGGAUCGAAGACGAUCAGAUACCGUCGUAGUCUUAACCAUAAACUAUGCCGACUAGGAAUCAGACGAUGUUAAUUUUUUAAUGACUCGUUUGGCACCUUAC